UUUAUGAUAAUAUAAGCGUGUAUUUGUAUGAGUGCACAUGUAUGAUUGCGCGUUUGCGCUGUUGAUGCUUUGCGCGUUCCGGCGAGUUCGUGCACGCCGCUGGCUUGAGAGUUUCCUGCGUUUUCUGUGUUCUUUGUGUGCUUCGCUGUGACAUCUUUGGAAUAUUCCUGCGUGUUGCUCGCUUUUUAUGGACUUGUUGCCUCGAAGGUCGCCAUGAUCGCCUGCGACUCAGCGACAUCAAGGAUUCAAAAUGAGCUGGGAGAGGCCCCAGCUGGAACGGUUCACAUAGGUUGAAGGAGUGCACAUUGAGAAGGUUAUCCUGGCACAGUUUACCAUGGUCUGCCAUGGUGGACCAGGAAAGUUUGCAAGGGCCUUGCUUCACCAUGUGUUCACAGAGGAGGAGCUCAUGGGCCAUUUGGGCUUUGGAAAUAACACCAAGGGGCAAAAAAGGCUCUUGACCCCACCAGGGUCAGUGCUGUU